CUAUGCGACUUGGUUUUGGUGGUCAUCGCGCGGGUACCCUGUGUGUCACAAUCCAUCCAGUCAAUCGUGCAACUACCAGGCCCCACUCGAUCUUACGCUGUUGUGUGUUUUUUACCGCCUCGCUUUGUGCUGCAAAGUUCGUAUGUUCACAGAAGAAAGGCAGCUUGAAAAUAGUAUUUAAUGAGAAAAUAAGCGGAUUCAAAUGGGCUGAAGUUUUUGAGAAAACAUUUGUCUGAAGUACGAGCCGAUGGAAAUUCCCGCCUUUGCAGCAGCAGCAGCUAAAAAGAAGACUAAGAGGAGAGGCUCUACGCUACCAUUCUAUAUUCAUUCACGUCUAUAUCUAUGUAAGGUGAUCCUGAGAGGAAAAGGCCUUGGAUUGAUGUCUGUUUUCAGCUAUAAAAAUCAUUCACUUGUGUUGACGGGUUCCUAGCAGAAAGAUCACGGUUUACAACACAAAGCGAACACAACCACUAGGCGACAAACAUAAAGCGACAAAAAAAACACUGCCAAGGUUAAACCAACCCAGGACUACCUGAGGGUCGUGCUUGAUGCUAAGGGCUGGAAGACAUAAGAAUAGGCAAAUGUAGCCGGGCUUUCUUACUUUGAUACAGCAGUAUAAGUGUAAUAGGGUUUUUAGAGCAAGAUACUUUGUGUCAAUGAUACUGUAAAUCUGUAAAACAUUUUUAUCAACCUGAAGAUAAUGAGGAAAGGGGAAAUGAUAGGAGAGUGCUCAAUCAAGUUGUUGCAAUACUGUUAAAGUUUUUAUCAAAAAUAUAGUCCCAGUUUCUUUUUUCUCUC